GUCCUUUUGAAUUUUAUAAUAAGGUCUAGUCUGCCCACUGAAAUUUAUUUUUAAGGGCCGCAGUAUAUUGACUGUGCAAAGGUAGCAUAAUCAUUAGUUUUUUAAUUAAAAGCUUGUAUGAAUGGCUGAAUGAGGUAAAAUCUGUCUCUAUUUAAAUUAAUUUAGAAUUUAAUUUUUAAGUUAAAAAGCUUAAAUUUUAUUAAAAGACGAGAAGACCCUAUAGAUCUUUAUAUUUGUUAUUAAUAAUAUAAUUAAGAAUUUUUAUAAUUUUUUAGUAAUAAAUAUUUUAUUGGGGUAAUAUGAAGAUUAAAAAAAUUCUUUUUUUUUAUAAACAUAAAUUUAUGAAUUUAUGAUCCAAUAUUAUUGAUUAUAAGAUUAAGUUACCUUAGGGAUAACAGCGUAAUUUUUUUAGAGAGUUCUUAUCGAUAAAAAAGUUUGCGACCUCGAUGUUGGAUUAAAGAUUAUUUCAGGUGUAGAAGUUUGAAAAUUUUGGUCUGUUCGACCAUUAAAUCUUUACAUGAUCUGAGUUCAGACCGGCGUAAGCCAGGUCGGUUUCUAUCUUUAAUAAAAAAUUAUAUUUUAGUACGAAAGGACCAAAUAUUUAAUAUAUUUAUAUUUAAUUUUUGAAUAUUAUUAA
rnacentral:rRNA from 1 species